GACUAUUUAUGUUUAUGAAUAAUAAUGAUAACAAACGAUGGCGACGAGGAUGAUGGCCCAUGUUCCACUCCAAUUAGAGCGAUUUUGAUGACAUUCCACGGUUAUUUUCUUCCCUUGUUCUUUAAGAAAGUUGAGUGCAUGGUAACAUGUUCGUUUAUUAUUGUUCCUGGCUAUAGUGGCCUAGUAACCAAGUGGAAAAUUUUCUCCCUACAAACUAGGUUAAGAAAUUGCGGGCAAUUUGAAGUUUGAAUCAAGGAACAUAGUUUUGUUGGUUCAUACAUUACAUUAAACAGGACUAGUUUUCGUUUUGCAAUGUGAUGAAGCCAUUUUGGUUAAUGUGUAAUAAAGAACAACUUCCGCUAUUAGAAAGGAUGAAUGGAUCAAUUAGUUUAAUUUUAGGGGAAGUAGUUUGUCAAUGAAGGUUUGAGAAAAUGUUAAGUUGAUCCACGCCCAUCCCUAGCAUAAGCAUGGUAACUAAAUGUGUUCAAUUAAAGAAACUUAUUCUCAAAAACAAAUAUUGUCUAAAUGCAUGGAGAAUCCGUUUGAGCCGAUUGCAGUGAUUUAAGCAUGGAAUAUGAACCAAGAAAAUCAAAGUAUUUAGGCAUAAUCUGAAUUGGGUAAAUGUGCAAGCAGGGCAGAGAGAGAGAGAGGGCCCAAAGGUGAUAUUGAAAGGGGUUAUCUGAAUCAUAGACAUAUUUCCAGGAAUGUCAUAGUGAUAAAAGGCCCAUUACAAAAUCCAAUGUUUUUUAGUCCAAACCUUAAAAGGGGAGUUGCAGCCCAUAUGUAAUUCCAGCUGCUUCCUUGACUUUUGAGUUCUGGCCAAUGAUUGACUUUUAGCCUGGCUGGCUAGGCUAAGUGGAACUCUGCGCCUUGGCGAAAUUUCCCGGACGUAAUACUAACAGAAGGAAAAUUUUGACAUGUAUCUGGAGACUAAGAUAAGAAGAUUUUUAAAAGUUAUGUAGGAAAGUUUCAUGUAGCUGUGAACCCCUUUCUUUCUCGUCCUUUUCCUCUUUUCGUACCGUACUUGUGCGCUACUUGUGGAACUUGAGAACCAAGCAAGUUUGUGGCAGCCACCCUGUACACAUUUCUUCCAUCCACCAAAAAAUCCCCAGUUUAACUUCGCAAUGUCACUAAUUUUCCUUCAUUUCAAACCAUCUAUCCAAUUCCAAUAUGAUGUUAACCUCCACAUUUUGCUCAUGGGAAUAACAAGGAACAUGUCAACUACCUUCCCAAGUAAUUUUCCACUUUAUUUGAAGAAUCAAUUUAUAUCUAGAUUAAAAACUUUAUAGGAUAAACAAUAGGCUGGAAUGUGAAUAGGAAGCUAACAAAAUAAUUUUGAGGGAAACUUCUUGGGGCUUUGCUUUGAAUGCAUGUAUAGUCCCCCCGCACCCCCAGGAUUUGCUUCAAUCUUUUUCAGUAAGAAAGACUUAAUAUUUUCUGUGCCCGAAACGUCUUGCCAUCUUGGUAUUUCCCAUUAACCUUUCUUUGUCGAGCCUACAAACAUCACGUCCCUAUCGGAAUAACUAGAAUCUUUGGGAAACAAUACAGCUACCUUAAUAUAGCUUAAAUUCAACUCUUUAC
rnacentral:lncRNA from 1 species